GACGAACGCUGGCGGCAUGCCUAACACAUGCAAGUCGAACGGUAAGGCUUCCUUCGGGAAGUACACGAGUGGCGAACGGGUGAGUAACACGUGGGUAACCUACCCUUGACUGGGGGACAACCGAGGGAAAUUUCGGCUAAUAACGCAUAACGUGCAUUGCCUCAAGGUGGUGUACCAAAGCGACGGCGGUUAAGGAUGGGCCCGCGGCAGAAUAGCUUGUUGGUGGGGUAACGGCUUACCAAGGCGACGAUCUGUAGCUGGUCUGAGGGGACGGUCAGCCACACUUGAACGGAGACACGGUCCAGACUCCUACGGGAGGCAGCAGUGGGGAAGCGUGCGAAAUUGGCGAAAGGCGGACGCAGCAAGGCCACGAGAGGGAAGACGGCCUUGGUGUUGUAAACCGCUUUCAGCAGGGACGAACACAGACGGUACCUGCAGAAGAAGCCCCGGCUAACUACGUGCCAGCCGCCGCCGUAA
rnacentral:rRNA from 1 species